AAAGUCCUGGGAUUACAGGUGUGAAUCACUGCGCUCUGCCCAAUUUUUGUAUUUUUAAUAGAGACGGAGUUUUACCAUGUUGACCAGGAUGGUCUUGAACUCCUGACCAGGUGGACCUCUGCCCACCUCAGCCUCCUAAAGUGUUGGGAUUACAGGCGUGAGCCACCACGCCUGGCCGGUUCAAAGAUUUUAUUUAUUUAUUUAUUUAUUUAUUUACUUAUUUACUUACUUAUUUUCAGACAGAGUCUUUCUCUGUCACCCAGGCUGGAGUGCAGUGGCUUGAUCUUGGCUUACUGCAACCUCCGCCUCCUGGGUUCAAGCGAUUGUCCUGCCUUGCCUUCCAAGUAGCUGGGACUAUGGGUGCGUGCGUCACCACACCUGACUAAUUUUCCUAUUUUUAGUGGAGACAGGGUUUCACUAUGUUGGUCAGGCUGGUCUCGAACUCCUGGUCCAGUCACCCGUUGCCUUGGCAAUGUCAUCACCAGCCUUUUUUGGAGACAGGCCCAGGGGGCCGAUCUUGGGGGCCAGUGCAGACAUGGCACCAACUUCACCCACAGUGCACCUCAGGUAUACGACUUUGAUCUCGUUGGGGUCACACUUCGGCCACAUGGUGGAGGCGGCUGUUGUCGGAUGAACCCAGAUUCUGGAGGGCCAAAGAAAGUUGCACCUUGGCCUCCUCUGAGCUGAGAGCCGAAAAGCCCACUAGACCCCUCUUAAAAUAUUCAAAGGUUGGCUGGGUGGGGUGGCUCAUGCCUGUUAUCCCAGCACUUUGGGAGGCAGAGGCAGGCGGAUCACAAGGUCUGGAGUUUGAGACCAGCCUGGCCAAUAUGGUGAAACCCCGUGUCUACUACAUAUACAAAAAAAAUUAGCAGGGCGUGGUGGCACAUGCCUGUACCCAGCUACUCAAGAGACUGAGGCAGGAGAAUUGCUUGAACCCGGGAGGCAGAGGUUGCAGUGAGCCAAGAUCACGCCACUGUACUCCAGCCUGGGCGACAGAGUGAGACUCUGUCUCAAAAAAAAAAAAAAAAAAAAAAAAUUCAAAGGUUGGCCCAUGGCACACAGUGUAUGAACCUUACUUUUCUCACCUAGUAUGUCUUGUAGAUCAUUCUAUAUCAGUAUGUAAAGAACAUCCUAGAUACAUAUUUCAGAUGAAUAUUAUUCUACUCUAAAGAUAGACCUCAAUUUAUAUAGCCAGGACCCUACUGAUGGACUUUUAGGUUGUUUAAUAAAUGUAGCCGAAUUUUAGAAUCUUAGAAAAUGGAAGGUCAUUUAACCCCAACUCCUACCACCCUGCCUAGGUUUUUUUUUUUUUUUUUUUUUUUUUGGUAGAAAUGAGGUCUUGCUUUGUUGCCCAGGCUGAUCUUGAACUCCUGGCUUCAAGCUAUCCCCCCGCCUCAGCCUGCUUCCCAAAGUGCUGGAACGCGCCCAGCCCUGCCAAGGAAUUCUUUCAUGGUAUCUGACUGCAUGCCUGAGACCCAGCUGCAAUGUCACCUCUUCUGGGAAGCUCCACCUUCCUCUCCCUCUCAUCGCCUUUGCACAUACCUUAGCCAGAGCCCUAAUCACAUGAUAUGAUUUAGGCAAAAGCGUGAUAACUUUGCUUUUGUAUCUUCUCAGCUCUGACCCUAUUGCAGAGCACAGUAGGUACAGAACCAAUGUGAAUUGACAGUCCUUGAGAGGGGAC
ensembl:lncRNA